CAGUCGAGCGAACAGAUAAGGAGCUUGCUCCUUUGAAGUUAGCGGCGGACGGGUGAGUAACACGUGGGUAACCUACCUAUAAGACUGGGAUAACUUCGGGAAACCGGAGCUAAUACCGGAUAACAUUUAGAACCGCAUGGUUCUAAAGUGAAAGAUGGUUUUGCUAUCACUUAUAGAUGGACCCGCGCCGUAUUAGCUAGUUGGUAAGGUAACGGCUUACCAAGGCGACGAUACGUAGCCGACCUGAGAGGGUGAUCGGCCACACUGGAACUGAGACACGGUCCAGACUCCUACGGGAGGCAGCAGUAGGGAAUCUUCCGCAAUGGGCGAAAGCCUGACGGAGCAACGCCGCGUGAGUGAUGAAGGGUUUCGGCUCGUAAAACUCUGUUAUUAGGGAAGAACAAAUGUGUAAGUAACUGUGCACAUCUUGACGGUACCUAAUCAGAAAGCCACGGCUAACUACGUGCCAGCAGCCGCGGUAAUACGUAGGUGGCAAGCGUUAUCCGGAAUUAUUGGGCGUAAAGCGCGCGUAGGCGGUUUCUUAAGUCUGAUGUGAAAGCCCACGGCUCAACCGUGGAGGGUCAUUGGAAACUGGGAAACUUGAGUGCAGAAGAGGAAAGUGGAAUUCCAUGUGUAGCGGUGAAAUGCGCAGAGAUAUGGAGGAACACCAGUGGCGAACGCGACUUUCUGGUCUGUAACUGACGCUGAUGUGCGAAAGCGUGGGGAUCAAACAGGAUUAGAUACCCUGGUAGUCCACGCCGUAACGAUGA
rnacentral:rRNA from 1 species